GAUGAACGCUGGCGGCGUGCUUAACACAUGCAAGUCGAACGAUGAUCCCAGCUUGCUGGGGGAUUAGUGGCGAACGGGUGAGUAACACGUGAGUAACCUGCCCUUGACUCUGGGAUAAGCCUGGGAAACUGGGUCUAAUACGGGAUAUGACUCCUCAUCGCAUGGUGGGGGGUGGAAAGCUUUUGUGGUUUUGGAUGGACUCGCGGCCUAUCAGCUUGUUGGUGGGGUAAUGGCCUACCAAGGCGACGACGGGUAGCCGGCCUGAGAGGGUGACCGGCCACACUGGGACUGAGACACGGCCCAGACUCCUACGGGAGGCAGCAGUGGGGAAUAUUGCACAAUGGGCGCAAGCCUGAUGCAGCGACGCCGCGUGAGGGAUGACGGCCUUCGGGUUGUAAACCUCUUUCAGUAGGGAAGAAGCGUAAGUGACGGUACCUGCAGAAGAAGCGCCGGCUAACUACGUGCCAGCAGCCGCGGUAAUACGUAGGGCGCAAGCGUUAUCCGGAAUUAUUGGGCGUAAAGAGCUCGUAGGCGGUUUGUCGCGUCUGCUGUGAAAGACCGGGGCUCAACUCCGGUUCUGCAGUGGGUACGGGCAGACUAGAGUGCAGUAGGGGAGACUGGAAUUCCUGGUGUAGCGGUGAAAUGCGCAGAUAUCAUGAGGAACACCGAUGGCGAAAGCAGGUCUCUGGGCUGUAACUGACGCUGAGGAGCGAAAGCAUGGGGAGCGAACAGGAUUAGAUACCCUGGUAGUCCAUGCCGUAAACGUUGGGCACUAUGUGUGGGGGACAUUCCACGUUUUCCGCGCCGUAGCUAACGCAUUAAGUGCCCCGCCUGGGGAGUACGGCCGCAAGCUAAAACUCAAGGAAUUGACGGGGGCCCGCACAGCGGCGGAGCAUGCGGAUUAAUUCGAUGCAACGCGAAGAACCUUACA
rnacentral:rRNA from 1 species